rnacentral:rRNA from 1 species
UACAGAGGGCUCAAGCGUUGUUCGGAUUCAUUGGGCGUAAAGGGUGCGUAGGCGGCGCGGUAAGUCGGGUGUGAAAUCUUGGAGCUUAACUCCGAAACUGCAUUCGAUACUGCCGUGCUUGAGGACUGGAGAGGAGACUGGAAUUUACGGUGUAGCGGUGAAAUGCGUAGAUAUCGUAAGGAAGACCAGUGGCGAAGGCGGGUCUCUGGACAGUUACUGACACUGAGGCACGAAGGCCAGGGGAGCAAACGGG